rnacentral:snRNA from 2 species
AUACCUUUCUCGGCCUUUCGGCUAAGGUUAAGUAUAGUAUCUGUUCUUAUCAGUUUGAUAUCUGAUAUUGUGAGGCACCGCCUCACAAUGAUAUAUUGAACUAAUUUUUUGUGGGGGUAGGAAUCACUAUAGUGGCUUAGCCACUUGGGUUCCUUGGGCGUUGCUCAAGCAUUGCACUAUAGCUUGGGCUAGGCGCACCCCAA